rnacentral:piRNA from 1 species
UCACAAGGAAAAGUGUCUAAAAUGGACCUG